AACACCGUUGUUCGAAUGAACAACGGUUUUAAGAUGGUUUCUUGCUCUCACUUCUGGAUGGACCUGCGGUGCAUUAACUUGUUGGUGGGGUAACGCCCUACCAAGGCGGGGAUGCAUAUCCGAGUUGAGACCCUGAUUCCCCCCGAUGGGACUGAGACACGGCCCAUACUCCUACGGGAGGUGGUGGAGGGAAUCUUCCGGGUGGGCGCAAGCCUGAGGGAUCAACCCCGCGUGAGUGAAGAAGGGUUUCGGCUCACAAAGCUCUGUUGUUAAUGAAGAACCCAAAGGAAAGCCCCUGUUCUUAGGUUGGCGGUAUUUGACCAGAACGUCACGGGUUACUCCCUGCCCUUCGCCUUGGAACUACUUAUGCGGCAAGUGUUAUCCGCCCCUAUUGUUCCUUUAGAGUUUGAACGUGGUUUUCUAAUUCCCAUGUGGAAGCCUUCAGGUUAUCCGGACAGGUGCAUCGGAAACUGGACCUCCUGCAUGCAGAACACGGUAGUGAAACUCCGUGUGUACCGGGGGACUGAUUCUGUUUACUGACCAAGACUUCUGGUCACAGCGGCUACUUGGUAUCCAGCUGACGCCCACACCCCUGGGGGUGUUUCGCAAAUAUGAUAUAUACCCUGGUAGUCCGGGCGUCAACAACCACUGCUGGCUGUAGGAUGUCAGUUCCGUCGACGUCGGCCGUAAGCCUAAGGACUUCGCUGGA
rnacentral:rRNA from 2 species